AACGAACGCUGGCGGCAUGCCUAACACAUGCAAGUCGAACGAGACCUUCGGGUCUAGUGGCGCACGGGUGCGUAACGCGUGGGAAUCUGCCCUUAGGUACGGAAUAACUCAGGGAAACUCGAGCUAAUACCGUAUAAUGACUUCGGUCCAAAGAUUUAUCGCCUAAGGAUGAGCCCGCGUCGGAUUAGCUAGUUGGUGAGGUAAAAGCUCACCAAGGCGACGACCCGUAGCUGGUCGAGAGGAUGAUCAGCCACACUGGGACUGAGACACGGCCCAGACUCCUACGGGAGGCAGCAGUGGGGAAUAUUGGACAAUGGGCGAAAGCCUGAUCCAGCAAUGCCGCGUGAGUGAUGAAGGCC
rnacentral:rRNA from 1 species